UUGCAGCACAGCCAUCUAUUGUGGGGAUCUGCUUUGAUUCCCAAACUACAAAAAGAGAAGAAAGGGGAACAGAGUGAAUUUUCAUGUCCCCCUGAGUACUGCUUGAACAAAUCAUGGUGCUUGAAACACUACCUUCUGUUUCAUAGGAAUUCUGGAAAGCAGCCCUUUGAUUAUAAAACUAUAGGUCAAAUUGGAUGAGUGGGAAAGAUAUUUUGGAGAAUGAUGAACAUGUAGAAAACAUUGUGCAGUUCCUCAAGUUUGAUAUUCUAUACUAGGAUCAAACAGGAGAAGCUUGGCUGUGAUGGAUCAAAUCCUUAUUAAAAUAUGAAUAUUUAACAAUAGAAGAGGAAAUCUGGAGA